rnacentral:lncRNA from 1 species
CCGGUUAGGCCAGUUGAACCAGUCGGUUUACUAGUUAGGCCGGUUGAACCGCUUCCAGUGCCAUUUCCGGUUAAACAUCCCGCUUCGAUUUUUCUUACACUAAUCUAAACCACUAACUCAACUGUGCUACAUUUUAUAAACUAUGUGCAUGCAAAAGGGAGAAGCAAUUUCUUAAUAAAACAUCCAAGGGACGAGGUUUAAAAUAUUUAAAAAUUCACUUGGUAUGCACUUAAUUGACCCAUGGUUGAAAAAAAUGAAAAUCACUGUCAUAAAAGGCUGCCAUAAUGCUUGCAGCCCCUGCCUAUUAUAUCACAUAAAAGAAAUGAGCAAGAUGAAUAUGAUGUCUGCUAUGUAUAUACGAUGGGUGCUUAUAGUUGUUAGACAAAAAGGCAUAAAAAUUAAACCAAUAAAGAAAUCAUCAUAAAUGUUUCAAAACAAACAACGAAAAUGGACUAUAUCCAUUAUAAUGUUUACUAUGUCUAUUACUUUUACAGAAAUGAAAAAGAACAGCCCAUUAUUUUCAUUAUUGAAUAAGAUUAUACCAUCAUCAUUUCUUUACAAAAUUUGUUGCGAGUUUUUAUAUUACUUCAAAAUUAUAAACAAAUCAUUUCUAAUUUAAGUUAUAACUAUCCACUUUGGCCAGACUUUGAAACCUUUGUUUGGUUUUAAACUCAAGAAGAGAUAUCCUAUUCAUGAAUCCCUACAAAAAAGAUAGAGAAUGACCUAAUUGCUCCCUUGCGAAUAAACUUUCAGCUGGUUUUCAAUGUAACUAACAGGAACAUGUGGGACUUUGCACUUAUAUUGUUUAUGUAGAACGCAUGCCCAUAUUAAGUGUGAUCUGUGUGUGUGCUGCCUUUGCAUCAGUCAUGGCUGUGAGUGUAUUAGGGGAUGCACACGGGACAUG